rnacentral:rRNA from 1 species
UACGAAGGGGGCGAGCGUUGUUCGGAAUCACUGGGCGUAAAGGGCGCGUAGGCGGCCCUCCUUGUCGCGUGUGAAAGCCCCGGGCUCAACCUGGGAACGGCGCGCGAGACGGGGGGGCUGGAGUUCGGGAGAGGAGCGUGGAAUUCCAGUGUAGAGGUGAAAUUCGUAGAUAUUGGGAAGAACACCGGUGGCGAAGGCGGCGCUCUGGACCGAGACUGACGCUGAGGCGCGAAAGCGUGGGGAGCAAACAGG